rnacentral:misc_RNA from 1 species
AAGUCGUAACAAGGUUUCCGUAGGUGAACCUGCGGAAGGAUCAUUACCGAGUACCGGGUCUUCCAGGCCCUUGCUCCCACCCUUUGUGUACCUUACCUCUAUUCAGUUGCCUUGGCGGGUACGGCUUCGGCCGCCCGCCAGGGGGACCACCUUUAAACUCUGUCAACGGAGUCGUCUGAGAACAAAACAAAUAAGUUAAAA